rnacentral:tRNA from 1 species
UCCAGUUGCUCAGACAGUAAAGAAUCUGCCUGUAAUGCAGGUGACCCAGGUUCAAUUCCUGGGUCAGGAA